CAGAUAUUGAAUAUUAGGAAUCAGCACUGCAGCUUUGAUGGUUUCUGGCAAUCCGACAAAACCUAGAUUGUAGCAGCAGCUUUAUUUUCAGAGUUUUCUAUUUUAUCCAGAAGCUGCUGCAACUGUUGAGAUUUGAGAAUCAACUGUAGUCUGUAGGGAAGUGAGGAAAUCGUCACUUGUCACAUCGUCAUUGUUCCAGGCUGUCUAGUCUUGAGGAGUUGUCGCAAAGUGGGACAUUGCGUAGCCUAUAGAGGAUUUUAUUGCAGACAGUUUGGCUUCAAAGUGUGAACAGAGAUUUCUGCUGCAAUGGUUGAUGUGUGAGAAGCUGUGACUACUGACGUGAGGGGGAUUGUGAUAUGUCAUCCAUAUCUCUGCAGGAGAAUUCAAUUUCUAAGUAUCGAAAAACAUCCAAGGGUUUAUGGAAGGAGUUGGUCUCUUAUGGUGGAGUUUUGUGUGAGGAGUGUUUUGAGUGGACAUUUUUUUCCAUUGUAGUACUUGAAUAUCAAAUUUGGCAGGUAGGUGUCACUUCCCUCUGUAGAGUGAUUGGCAUAUGGGUGUGUGAGUACUCCCUGUAUGGGUGUCAGCCACGUGCGUAGGCUGAUUAUUGUGUCUUCUUGAGAGGGAUUCAAUCAGAGAAGGCCCGCCAUGGACUCCAAAG